ACAGGCGAGGGCGUUCGGCGACGUUACUGGGGCUGCACGGUGCUUGUAGCUGGGCAGUCUUAUCAUCAGAGUGGAGCCUGGUAACCACGACCUCCCCGCCAGGUCCUGUGUGUUGCUAGCUGGAGAAGGGUAGUUGAAAACUCAGACCAAGCACAGUGUUUAUAUCGGUCAAAACUGGAAAACUAUGUCCGGGCGCAGCCGAGGCUGGAGGAUCCCUUCAGGCCAAGAGCAACCUAGCAAUAUGGCGCGACCGGAUCUCUGUAGUCCUACCUCAACCCCCAGCUACUUGAACCCCAAGGUUGAAGGCUCCAGUGAGCUAUGAUCCCACCACAGCAUUGCAGCCUGCCAGACUGAGGGCUUGAGGAUCAGCCAGGUUUCAUGAGUUCAAUGCAGACCUGAAUCAUACCAAGCUGAGACUGGGGUACACACUCUCCUCUACUGAAAAGUAGUGAGGGAUUCCAACUUGGUGAGAGGGAGAGUGGGGGAGAGCCAGACCAGACAAGAGUGCUCACCUGGAAAAAGCCUGCCAUCAAAGGCCAUGACAUGAACUUAUGAAUUCAACACAUGAAGACUUACAACUUGAUAAACCAGCUUCAGGAGAUUGAGAAAACUUGUAUUCCUGUGAUUUCGAUAGUGAAGGAAGUAUGGUAUACCAGAAUCACUAAAUUAUGAAAGAUGGUAGAUCAGCUUUUUGCAAAAAAAUUUGGUUCCUGAAAGGGAGAGAGGAAAUCUUCGAUUUUUCAUGGCUGUGAACCACUGCAAGUAUUGAAGAAAUAUUUACUACUUCCAGCCUCAUAAUCCUGCAGUCAUUUGGCACCUCUGAAGCCUUGGGGAGCACUGAAGCCAAGGCUGCACCGUACCAAAAAUUUGAAACAUGUGAAUGAGCUGAAUGUGGAAGGACUACCGGAAAACACUCCUUUCAGAAUCCCCUCAUUGCAUGAAAUCCCAAGGCUCGAAAACAUCUUUCAAGUGAGCAAUUGAAUUAAGUUUGUUAUUAAGAGUAACUCCAGUUAGCCUCCAUUGUCUCCAAGCCGGCUUUUGUCCUCAUCCACAACGCCUCCACACAAGCUCUGAACACCUGUCCAUUGCUAACUUGAGACUGCCAUGCUGUUAGGAAGUUCAAGUUCACCACAUGGAGAUGAAAUAAGAUAUCAUGAUAAACAUCCCCAGCUGAUCCCAGCCUCCAGUGAUCCAUCAACUACAUAUAUGAUCCUAAGUCACAUGUGUGACCCCGAGCAAGAUCAGCAGAACAAUCACUCAGCCAACCCACAGAACCCUGAAAAAAUAUAAAUCAUUAUAGUUUAAACCACAAGUUUUGGGUAGCUUGUUAUGCUGCUAUUGAUAAUUAAAACAAACUGGAAUAUUUUCAUCUA
rnacentral:lncRNA from 1 species